GACGAACGCUGGCGGCGUGCUUAACACAUGCAAGUCGAACGGAAAGGCCCUGCUUUUGUGGGGUGCUCGAGUGGCGAACGGGUGAGUAACACGUGAGUAACCUGCCCUUGACUUUGGGAUAACUUCAGGAAACUGGGGCUAAUACCGGAUAGGAGCUCCUGCUGCAUGGUGGGCGUUGGAAAGUUUCGGCGGUUGGGGAUGGACUCGCGGCUUAUCAGCUUGUUGGUGGGGUAGUGGCUUACCAAGGCUUUGACGGGUAGCCGGCCUGAGAGGGUGACCGGCCACAUUGCGACUGAGAUACGGCCCAGACUCCUACGGGAGGCAGCAGUGGGGAAUAGUGCACAAUGGGCGGAAGCCUGAUGCAGCAACGCCGCGUGCGGGAUGACGGCCUUCGGGUUGUAAACCGCUUUCGCCUGUGACGAAGCGUGAGUGACGGUAAUGGGUAAAGAAGCACCGGCUAACUACGUG
rnacentral:rRNA from 1 species